CUUAAAUAAAUAAACAACUAACUAACUACCAAAAGUCAUGCAUGAAGAUCAUGGCUUCAUGUAUACGUGCAGCUCCCAUAUAAUCAUGUGCACCCCAUUUGACUUUGCCACUACAGUUAACCUCGACCCAUAACAAAUAGUUUGUGAUAAUUGCUUUUGAUUUGUGAUUCAUAGCCAUGUUGUUCUUCCUCAUCAAGUUGUGAAGGAAUUCCAUUUCAUUUUCUUUUAAAAAGUCCCUCCUCUGCCAUCACAUGCUUCAUCUUAUUCCCACCAAUCCGCCAUUGAUGUUGCUUCCACAAGCUUCUUUACAACUUCUGUUGCUGUUUUGAACCCUUCAUUCAUACUCUAUUUCAACUUUAAUUUCAUCUUCUAGGUCUCCAGUUAAAGGAAAUAGCAAAGUCCUUUGAGGUUACUGAGUUACCAGUGGGAAACCCGCGCGUUGCGGCGGAGUGCGUUGCGGCGGAGUCGAGAGUGCGUUGCGGCAGAGUCGAAAACACAUGGAGGAAACAUGGGCAUUAUUAUUGGGAUUCAGAUCAGCAAAGUUUGUAGCCCGCAAGCAGUGGGCUGUUGCAGAUGCAGAUGACAUGUUUAUCCGGGUGUACAAUUACAAUACAAUGGAUAAAGUCAAAGUUUACAAGGCCCAUACAGAUUAUAUCCGGUGUGUGGCGGUCCACCCUACACUCCCGUAUAUCUUAUCAUGUUCUUAUGACAUGCUUAUAAAGCUUUGGGACUGGGAAAAAAGUUGGUAUUGUAUUCAAUAUUCGAGGGACAUUCACAUUAUGUCAUGCAAGUGACGAUUAAUCCAAAAGACACAAAUACUUUUGCAAGCGUUUCACUUGAUCGCGCGAUAAAGGUAAUUUUAGGGCUUAAGGG